rnacentral:rRNA from 1 species
GGUGGAUCCGAGCGUUAUCCGGAUUUAUUGGGUUUAAAGGGAGCGUAGAUGGAUGUUUAAGUCAGUUGUGAAAGUUUGCGGCUCAACCGUAAAAUUGCAGUUGAUACUGGAUAUCUUGAGUGCAGUUGAGGCAGGCGGAAUUCGUGGUGUAGCGGUGAAAUGCUUAGAUAUCACGAAGAACUCCGAUUGCGAAGGCAGCCUGCUAAGCUGCAACUGACAUUGAGGCUCGAAAGCGUGGGGAGCAAACAGGAUUAGAUACCCUGGUAGUCCACGCCGUAAACGAUGACUGCUAGGUGUCGGGUGGCAAAGCCAUUCGGUGCCGCAGCUAACGCAAUAAGCAGUCCACCUGGGGAGU